rnacentral:misc_RNA from 1 species
ACAAACUUGGUCAUUUAGAGGAAGUAAAAGUCGUAACAAGGUUUCCGUAGGUAAGUGGAAGCGUUCGAUCUCACACCCCCCUUAUAGUUCAUAGUUGUGCUGACUUUUCCCUUUAGGUGAACCUGCGGAAGGAUCAUUACAGAGAGUGACUCUUUACGAGUGCCUCCCGUCCUUUGCGGGCCCCCCUUUGGGGGGCUUUUCAGCUUUGCUUCGGCGGGGCUGCCCCGCUGGAACACCCUCAAGAAAAUCUCAAAAAAAAAAAACCGUUCAGUCCGAGGGCUUUUGCGAAUAAACAAAAAACUUUCAACAACGGAUCUCUUGGUUCUGGCAUCGAUGAAGAACGCAGC